CACGUAGGGCGCGAGCGUUGUCCGGAAUUAUUGGGCGUAAAGAGCUCGUAGGCGGCCUGUUGCGUCCGCUGUGAAAGCCCGGGGCUUAACCCCGGGUCGGCAGUGGAUACGGGCAGGCUAGAGGUAGGUAGGGGAGAAUGGAAUUCCCGGUGUAGCGGUGAAAUGCGCAGAUAUCAGGAAGAACACCCGUGGCGAAGGCGGCUCUCUGGAACGCAACUGACGCUGAGACGCGAAAGCGUGGGGAGCAAACAGG
rnacentral:rRNA from 1 species